ensembl:snoRNA
AAGGUGUGCUCAGAGCAGGGGGCCUGAAGAAUGGCUCUUCCGUUUAUAACACACCCAACAGGAAUCUGGAGUCAUUGUGAUGAGAGGCAUGAAGCUUGUGGCCUCCCUAAAAACAAAUGCUCUACAUGU